UCAACAAUUUAUGAAGAACGUUCAGUCAACAUCUAUCAUAAUUAUAGUGUCAACAAAGUAAAGUGUGGUCGAAUAAACGGUAAAGUAAACACAUAUUUCGAUGGGUUGUCAGGCUAGUAAGCACGUUGACCUUUGUGAGGCUUCAUACUCUGCUGACCAGUCUCACCAUUCACUGAAAGCUGCAUAUACAGAAGGUCAAGAAACUGCUGUGCAACAAGAAGAUACAAAUAAAGAAAAC